CCUGAGAAAUAGUCGUUCCUCUUGUUAGGAUGUGGAGAUUAAUCCCAAUUGGGCAUCAGGCAUCAGCCAAGUGCUCAAAAACUGUUGAGGCAGGAAACAUUGCAGUUUUUUAAUCAAAGUUCUGGCUGAGUCAGAGCGAUGUUCCAGGUUAGUUCAGCCUAACAUAAAUGUUUCGAUGAAAGCUGGGUAGCCUUUACCAUUUCUCCUUAAGUACAGAGUGCUUUAAUUAGAGGAAAGCAGAGCAACAGCUGCUGUGAAUCUGUUCUGCUGUUGAGUUGUCAAUGCAAAGGCUCAAUUUCGAGCACUUCUUACUAAGCUUUCAGUACCAUUCUGGAGUCUGAAUUUACUGGUAUCUAAUGGUGAGAUUUCAACACCAGACAAAGAAAAGCCAUGCUGGCCUUGAACUCAAGCCCUGUUCCUUGGGUGAGCAUUAGCUUCAGCUUUUUACUGGUAGGGUUUUCAGGUUAAUAACAUUUUCCCCCCUAAGGCAAUUGAGAACUUGAGACAGUUCAAAUCAUCCUUCCUGAACCUCUGGCUCUGUGAGGUUCUGUUUGAACCCCUGUGGCUCUUCCAGAUUGAUUCUAUACUUCUAUGUGGCAAAUAGGUUUUGAAUCUGAUCCACGGGGGUCCUGGAGUGCUCGACUGAGGAUUCUAAGACCACUUCAGGGCUCAGCAGCAGACGGUGCCAUGUGCCUGCCUCAGAACUGAGAAGCGAUUUUUACAUCCGUGCUUUCUGACUGACUAAGAGUUCACAGAGCUUUCCUACCGCUGAGAAGGCGAUUCCAUUGGUCUAAGAACCCAUCUCUGCACCUCUGCCUGGUUCCUCUGCAGUGGGAUGAAGUGGAAUGGAUUUGGGUUCAAAAUGACCUAGAUUCAAACCACAGCUCCAAUGCUUACUGGAUGUGUGACUCUGGUUAAGAUAAUCCCGCUUGAGCGAUGAAAAUGAUUGGUUCAUAAUGCUCCCUCAGUAGAGUCAAGGGCAAGCUGGGGAAACUGAAGCAAGGAGGGAUGAAGUGACUUAACCAAGGGCAUGUGAGCUCACGGUGGCAGAUCUGGGAUUGCAAAGGAAGAAGGAUGUUAUCAACGCAUUAGCAUCUCUACAGUCAAGCUGAAGUGUGAUUGACUCUGGGCAGUUUGAUCAAUCAAGGUGGUCAACAGGAAGUUAUUUCCUCAAAUAUCGACGUCCUAUGUUUGAAUUGACUACUCUAUAAACAAGUUACUAAAUCCAGCCCACCCUCAACGGGAGAUCAUACAAGGCUGUGAAGACCAGGAAGCAGGGAUCAUCGGGGGCAUCUUGGAGACUGGCUACCACAUAUCUAGUACAUGCCAGUGCCAU
rnacentral:lncRNA from 1 species